rnacentral:misc_RNA from 1 species
GAUGAAGAACGUAGCGAAAUGCGAUACUUGGUGUGAAUUGCAGAAUCCCGUGAACCAUCGAGUCUUUGAACGCAAGUUGCGCCAGAAGCCAUUAGGCCGAGGGCACGCCUGCCUGGGCGUCACACGUCGUUGCCCCCCCAUCUACUCCUUCGGGAUUGCGGGGGGCGGAUGAUGGCCUCUCGUGCGCCUCGUCGCGCGGUUGGCCUAAAUGCCAAGUCCUCGGCGACGCACGCCACGACAAUCGGUGGUUGCGAAACCUCGGUUGCCUGUCGUGUGCGGUCGUCGUGCAUCGAGGGCUCGAAAAAAUUGCCGGGCUUCGGCUCGACUUUCAACGCGACCCCAGGUCAGGCGGGGUUACCCGCUGAAUUUAAGCAUAUCAAUAAGCGGAGGA